AAUUGGAGGGCAAGUCUGGUGCCAGCAGCCGCGGUAAUUCCAGCUCCAAUAGCGUAUAUUAAAGUUGUUGCAGUUAAAAAGCUCGUAGUUGAAUUUCGGGAUUGACGUGAUGGUCGUGCCUUACGGGGUAUGAACUGUUGCUGUUGAUUUCUCACCUUCUGGAGAAACUUGAUGUCCUUUAUUGGGUGUCUUGCGGAACCAGGACCUUUACCUUGAAAAAAUUAGAGUGUUUAAAGCAGGCAUUUUUGCUCGAAUACAUUAGCAUGGAAUAAUAGAAUAGGACGGCAUGGUUCUAUUUUGUUGGUUUCUAGGAUCACCGUAAUGAUUAAUAGGGAUAGUUGGGGGCAUUAGUAUUCAAUUGUCAGAGGUGAAAUUCUUGGAUUUAUUGAAGACUAACUACUGCGAAAGCAUUUGCCAAGGAUGUUUUCAUUAAUCAAGAACGAAAGUUAGGGGAUCGAAGACGAUCAGAUACCGUCGUAGUCUUAACCAUAAACUAUGCCGACUAGGAAUCAGACGAUGUUAAUUUUUUAAUGACUCGUUUGGCACCUUACGGGAAACCAAAGUGU
rnacentral:rRNA from 1 species